CGAAGGGGCUAGCGUUGCUCGGAAUCACUGGGCGUAAAGGGCGCGUAGGCGGCCGAUUAAGUCGGGGUGAAGACCUGUGGCUCAACCACAGAAUUGCCUUCGAUACUGGUUGGCUUGAGACCGGAAGAGGACAGCGGAACUGCGAGUGUAGAGGUGAAAUUCGUAGAUAUUCGCAAGAACACCAGUGGCGAAGGCGGCUGUCUGGUCCGGUUCUGACGCUGAGGCGCGAAAGCGUGGGGAGCAAACAGGAUU
rnacentral:rRNA from 1 species